UACGUAGGGUCCAAGCGUUGUCCGGAGUUACUGGGCGUAAAGCGCGCGCAGGCGGUCGCGUUGGCCCGGCGUGAAAGCCCCCGGCUCAACCGGGGAGGGUCGUCGGGGACCGCGCGACUUGAGGUCGGCAGGGGCCGGUGGAAUGCCCGGUGUAGUGGUGAAAUGCGUAGAGAUCGGGCGGAACACCCGUGGCGAAGGCGGCCGGCUGGGCCGUACCUGACGCUGAGGCGCGAAGGCGUGGGGAGCGAACGGG
rnacentral:rRNA from 1 species